rnacentral:rRNA from 1 species
CAGUCGCCGCGGUAACACGAAGGGGGCUAGCGUUGUUCGGAAUUACUGGGCGUAAAGCGCACGUAGGCGGAUAUUUAAGUCAGGGGUGAAAUCCCGCAGCUCAACUGCGGAACUGCCUUUGAUACUGGGUAUCUUGAGUAUGGAAGAGGUUAGUGGAAUUGCGAGUGUAGAGGUGAAAUUCGUAGAUAUUCGCAGGAACACCAGUGGCGAAGGCGGCUAACUGGUCCAUAACUGACGCUGAGGUGCGAAAGCGUGGGGAGCAAACAGGAUUAGAUACCCCCGUAGUCCCUGUCUCUUAUAC